UGUCUUAGAUUAGCCAUGCAUGUCUAAGUAUAAAUAUUGUACGGUGAAACUGCGAAUGGCUCAUUAAAACAGUUAUAGUUUAUUUGAUGAUGGACUACACGGAUAACCGUAGUAAUUCUAGAGCUAAUACAUGCUGGAAGCCUGACUUUAUGGGAAGGUUGUAUUUAUUAGAUCCUAAACCAAUACCUUCGGGUGUUGUGAUGAAGUAUAAUAACUGGUCAGAUCAGGGUAUAGCCCUGAUGGAUCAUUCAAGUUUCUGCCCUAUCAGCUUUCGAUGGUAGUGUAUUGGACUACCAUGGCGAUAACGGGUAACGGGGAAUUAGGGUUCGAUUCCGGAGAGGGAGCCUGAGAAACGGCUACCACAUCUAAGGAAGGCAGCAGGCGCGUAAAUUACCCAAUCCUAAUUCAGGGAGGUAGUGACAAGAAAUAACAACUCAGGGGUUUUACACCCUUUUGGGAUUGAAAUGAGGACAAUCUAACAGACAUUUACCAAGGAACAA
rnacentral:rRNA from 1 species